rnacentral:lncRNA from 1 species
AGAAGAGACGUGAAAAUAGAAAUUCCAGUUUAUUUAUAAAAAUCAUUACAUGUUAGAACAAACAUGUAAUGAUUUUAGUGGGGUGGUGUCCACUUUCGGCUCGGAUAAUUGAGCCGGCUAGGCUGAUGAGUCCAUGUCGCCAUGACAAGACUCUCUGUGGCUGGACGGCUACACAUGUCGCCGCCUUCAGGCACACUCUUGACAACGGAAAACUAACUGAAAACGAUUUUAUGGGACUUAGAUGGCGUCAACAUGCAUGAAGAUGGGACCGGAGACGGUUGUGUAAGGCAGGCGAAUCUGGUCUGUAGCACC